UAAUUAUGUGAUGAUUUAUUUACCGCCCCAGUCUGAAACCGGUGACUGAUUGGUUUUUCUGAUCACAU